UUGGAGGGCAAGUCUGGUGCCAGCAGCCGCGGUAAUUCCAGCUCCAAUAGCGUAUAUUAAAGUUGUUGCAGUUAAAAAGCUCGUAGUUGAAUUUCGAGACCGGUUUACUGGUCGUGCUUUUGUACGUACUGGUAUAAUCGAUUUCUCUUUUCUGACGAACUAUAAUGCCAUUAAUUUGGUGUUAUAGGGAAUCAGGACUGUUACUUUGAAAAAAUUAGAGUGUUAAAGCAGGCUCUCGCUUGAAUACAUUAGCAUGGAAUAACGAAAUAGGACGUUUG
rnacentral:rRNA from 1 species